AGUGAACGCUGGCGGUAGGCCUAACACAUGCAAGUCGAACGGCAGCACAGUAAGAGCUUGCUCUUACGGGUGGCGAGUGGCGGACGGGUGAGGAAUACAUCGGAAUCUACUUUUUCGUGGGGGAUAACGUAGGGAAACUUACGCUAAUACCGCAUACGACCUACGGGUGAAAGCAGGGGAUCUUCGGACCUUGCGCGAUUGAAUGAGCCGAUGUCGGAUUAGCUAGUUGGCGGGGUAAAGGCCCACCAAGGCGACGAUCCGUAGCUGGUCUGAGAGGAUGAUCAGCCACACUGGAACUGAGACACGGUCCAGACUCCUACGGGAGGCAGCAGUGGGGAAUAUUGGACAAUGGGCGCAAGCCUGAUCCAGCCAUACCGCGUGGGUGAAGAAGGCCUUCGGGUUGUAAAGCCCUUUUGUUGGGAAAGAAAAGCAGCAGGCUAAUACCCCGCUGUUCUGACGGUACCCAAAGAAUAAGCACCGGCUAACUUCAUG
rnacentral:rRNA from 1 species